CAAUUAGCUACCGUGACUAGCGCGACAGGGUGAGACACGUGUGCCUGCUACUAUAAAACACGGUUGUUUCAGGACAACCCUACUAGUUGCAUUCCAGGAUGCAUACAUGUACAGCUCUGCUCGUCAUUGCCUUGUUACUGCAUAUCCCGCCACAGGACGCCGCUGGGGCCAACUACACCGUGGCGCUGAAAGGUGUAAAAUGCUUGGAUAACACGUCAAAAGAUGGCGGCUGCGCGAAUGCCUGCGCUCGCAGGGGUUACGGCGAAGGCUUCUGUGGAGUUUUCAAUCUCUGUAACUGCCACGCGUUGGUGUAGAUCCCGAAACCAAUGUUUCUGGGAACAUACGCGACAGUGAGCAGAAUCUUCAAGAGGAAUAUUUCAGAAUCUAUGAACACUGGAAGUAGCUUGUGAAAUAUUGAAAGGACUUCUUCGCACAAAACUUACAAUACGAAAAAAAGAGGAUAGUUUUGCUCCCAGUGUGUUCAUGUAAAUUCCGUAUCAAACUACGUGAUAUUUUACCCUUCCUAGCCCUUCCUAUACAGACUUAGUGCGAGGACACACCAAGGAAACUGGCAACCGCAACGCAACUGCAAUUUCCAAGAAUUGCUAUCAGCCUGAGGUAAACGCAUGUUACUGAAUGCUGAAUGCAAUGUCAUUUCUUCAGUUUGCGCUGCUCCAUUCAGUGACAUGCGUUUACCUCAGGCUGAUAGCAAUUCUCGGAAAUUGCAGUUGCGUUGCGGUUUCCAGUUUCCUUGUUGUUCCCUCGCCCUAAGAGUCACGGUGAGGUUUUCGUUUAUUUUUAUGUAUUAGAUAUUCCAUACCUCAUUUUGUCGGAGACUAGGUCAUUUCAAGGCUAUCACGUGCACAAGGCAAACAGAAUAAUUUAAAUAUAACCUAUGCCCCUAGCAAGUUUCCCGACCCCUGUAUUAAUUCCUGAUAGGCCCAAGAACGUGAUGUUAGAUGAAAUAUGUCAACAUACUUGUAGAUGUAAGUGCAUCGAAAUUAAUUAAAGAAAAAUCAAUUUUGUGGAGUACGUAGCAUAAGGCCUAUGCUAAAGUAUUCAACAUAAACUGAA